GGGUUUGGUCUAAACGGGUUCGGGUCGGAUACGGGUUUUAAAUGUCUGACCCGUUUAUUAAUUGGGUCAGAUACGGGUUUUAAAUGUCUGACCCGUAUCCGACCCGUUUAACCCGUUUUAUUUGCAUCAGCUAUUCAGCCCAACGGCCCAACUUCCCGCGUCGGCCCAAUUUCAGGCUUUUCAGCGCGACCCGUUUAAGGUUUAACCCGUCCACCGCCCGUGACUUGAGAGUUGAGACUUCUCGACUUCGUGAUUCCGUGAAUCGUGAGUUCGUGGCCUUAGGGAUUUAGGGUUUGUGCUGCCGUCCGCCGUCGCCUCUCCUCCCGAUUCUUCGCCUCCCAAGCUCUCUCCUCCAGACCACCGCCUCCGCCCUCUCCUCCUCCGUGUGGAUAAGUUCGGCCUCUCCAUCGACGGCCACCGCGGCGGCUCGAGGACCACACUCCACCGUCCGCGACUUCUCCUUAGUUAGGGACUUAGGGUUAGGGUUUGUGCCCCGCCCGAGCUCUAUAGUCUAUUCCCUCCCUCAGUCUCUCUCGAGUCUCUCCCCUCUCCUCUCCUCCGGAUUCUUCGCCUCCCGAGUCCUCUCCUCCGGACCUCCACCUCCGCCCUCUCCUCCCCCGUGCCGACAACUUCGGCCUCCCCAUCGACGGUGACCGCGGCGGCUCGACGGGUCCUGGGAACCAAGGUUGAAUCUCUGCUCGACUGCUCCUAAAGAGGUCGGAUCCUCUGCUCUACCGAGUGCAUUUACAGUUGUUGGAAAGUAGAAGCAGUUGAAUAUCUAAGUUUUAGAGAUUAUAUUGAUAAAUCUGACUCAGCAAAAGUAAAUGCAUUUACAGUUGUUUCCGUUCUCUUUUCAAAUUAUUUUCUUUCUAAAUUGGUAUUCUGAUAUAAUUUUUAAAUUAUAUGAUAUAGAUGGAGUCAGAGAGUGUUUAUGAUAUGGCAAAUGAAUCGACGCCUUUAGGUUUUAAUACAGUUGUACGUGACUCCACACUUGGCAAACGUAAAAGAAAGUUGACCUCUUCUGUUUAUCAAUAUUUUCAUAUAAAUGAAGCAACUGCAAAAUGCAAGUGUAUAAAAUGUGGUGCAGAAUAUUCAUUUGGUGGUAAGGUUGGGACCGGAAAUCUAAAACGUCAUUUAGAGAAUUGCAGAAAGAACCGUGACAUAGGACAGAUGAUCUUAUCACAAUCUCAAGGGGCCAUAUCAAUGUGUUCUACUAAGUUGACCUCUACUAAGUUCUACCAAACAGCAUUGAAACAUGUCGUACUCUGUGUUUCUUUUUAACAGGAUGAUAGCAGAGAAGCAAUUGCAAUCACUUAGAAGUAUCUACUGACAUUGAAACAGGAUGAUAGCAGAGAAGCAUUGAAACAUGUCGUUUUGUUUUUCUUUUGGAAAUGAGGAACACGGGGCACCCACAUUGAUAUUGAUUUGACUCGUGGGUAGCUUGUGUAUGUUCCAGUGCUUCUGACAUUGGGUGGCUCUGUGGCUUUUGCCUUACUCUGUGGCAUUUGUUUAACUUAUUUUCUUUCCAUUUCCCUUCCAAACAGCAUUGAAACAUGUCGUACUCUGUGGCAUUUUUUUUUACUCUGUGGCUUUUGCUUAUGUUAUCCAAUUAUAAAUGCUUGUGAUUGACCCAGACUGGCCUGUAUGUUCGCACAUUAAGUUUUAACCUGUAUCAUUCCUGUCAUACCGACAAUUUCUUAUUGUAUGUGCACUUCUGGUGAAUUUUUUUAUAUGCUGAAAACAAUUGGGAACUGUUAGAUGUUAAUGACUGGGUGUUUGCAAGAGAGAUAGGUGGAUGGCUUAUCAAAUGCAUUUUCCUGCUGACUAAUUUAGCUGUGAGAGAUCCUGACUAGAAAGGAUUGCAUUUGUUUCCUGGUUGCAUGAUAGCAAGAUUACAGGAAAGAAAUGGGAACAAGGAAAACAAUAACCUGGGUGACAAAGGUGUUUUCAUCCGAAUUCAGGAUGAAGGUUUAAUUAAAGGUUGAUGAUACCAAUGAAUACUUGGAUUCACGCGGUGUAUCAGAGAUUCUAUAUCAGAGGAUUUGACCAUGGAUAGGAAAACAUGACAUAAUAGGAUGCUCAAGAUUUCAGGCAGCAAGGAACAAAGAUGAGAAGGAAGAGAGGUUACUGAUACAGUAAAUUUUGUUGUUGGGUGGAAUUUUUAGUGAUUGGCAUAUGUGAUAUGCGGCCUGCACUUGUUUAAAAGGAUGUUAAAUUGGGAUAUAUCACACAUGCUGGUGUUAAAACUCUCACUGUAUAGAGCCAGAAUCACAAACUCAGCUUUUGGAUGCCACUAUGAAUAUGGAAGGAGUUCUAUUAGCAGGAGUCCCUGGAGCAGGUGGUUAUGAUGCAGUUUUUGCUAUUAUAUUGGGAGAAGCCAACAAUGCUGUAAUCAAAUCUUGGAGCUCAGUCGGUGUUUUGCCCCUGCUUGUUAGAGAAGAUCCUAAAGGUGUGUCACUGGAAAAUGGUGACCCAAGAGCCAAAGAAGUGUCAUCUGCCAUUUCUUCAAUUCAAAUAAAUUAGGUUCGAGACUGUACUGUUAAUUGAGAUUCACAGGCGAUUCUCUCUUAAUUUCUUUUGGCAGCGAUUACCAAAAAUGAUUCAGAUGGAGAAUGUAUUGUUAUACAAUGUACACCUUGGCAGAAUGAAAACCAGCUCAUAAGAGCAUUGAAUAUGCUCUACUGUGUUCCA